AAGAGACGUUGCCCUUCGGGGUAUACCUCCCACCCUUUGUUUAUUAUACCUUUGUUGCUUUGGCGGGCCCGUCCUCGGACCACCGGCUUCUGCUGGUCAGUGCCCGCCAGAGGACCUAAAACUCUGUUGUUAAUAUUGUCUGAGUACUAUAUAAUAGUUA
rnacentral:misc_RNA from 1 species